rnacentral:rRNA from 1 species
UACGGAGGGGGCUAGCGUUGUUCGGAAUUACUGGGCGUAAAGCGCACGUAGGCGGCGAUUUAAGUCAGAGGUGAAAGCCCGGGCUCAACCCCGGAAUAGCCUUUGAGACUGGAUUGCUAGAAUCUUGGAGAGGCGAGUGGAAUUCCGAGUGUAGAGGUGAAAUUCGUAGAUAUUCGGAAGAACACCAGUGGCGGAAGGCG